rnacentral:rRNA from 1 species
UACGUAGGAUGCAAGCGUUGUCCGGAAUUAUUGGGCGUAAAGAGCGCGCAGGCGGUAUGACAAGUCAGAUGUGAAAGAGGCCGGCUUAACCGGCAAGGGUCAUUUGAAACUGUCAGACUAGAGUGCAGCAGAGGAUAGUGGAAUUCCCGGUGUAGUGGUGAAAUGCGUAGAUAUGCGGAGGAACACCGAUGGCGAAGGCAAUCCCCUGGACCUGUACUGACGCUCAUGCACGAAAGCGUGGGGAGCAAACAGG